GUGAGUAACACGUGAGUAACCUGCCCUUGACUCUGGGAUAAGCCUGGGAAACUGGGUCUAAUACCGGAUACGACCGCUCCACGCAUGUGGUGGUGGUGGAAAGCUUUUGCGGUUUUGGAUGGACUCGCGGCCUAUCAGCUUGUUGGUGGGGUAAUGGCCUACCAAGGCGACGACGGGUAGCCGGCCUGAGAGGGUGACCGGCCACACUGGGACUGAGACACGGCCCAGACUCCUACGGGAGGCAGCAGUGGGGAAUAUUGCACAAUGGGCGGAAGCCUGAUGCAGCGACGCCGCGUGAGGGAUGACGGCCUUCGGGUUGUAAACCUCUUUCAGUAGGGAAGAAGCGUAAGUGACGGUACCUGCAGAAGAAGCGCCGGCUAACUACGUGCCAGCAGCCGCGGU
rnacentral:rRNA from 1 species